rnacentral:rRNA from 1 species
GAUGAACGCUGGCGGCGUGCCUAAUACAUGCAAGUCGAGCGAACAGACGAGGAGCUUGCUCCUCUGACGUUAGCGGCGGACGGGUGAGUAACACGUGGAUAACCUACCUAUAAGACUGGGAUAACUUCGGGAAACCGGAGCUAAUACCGGAUAAUAUAUUGAACCGCAUGGUUCAAUAGUGAAAGACGGUUUUGCUGUCACUUAUAGAUGGAUCCGCGCCGCAUUAGCUAGUUGGUAAGGUAACGGCUUACCAAGGCAACGAUGCGUAGCCGACCUGAGAGGGUGAUCGGCCACACUGGAACUGAGACACGGUCCAGACUCCUACGGGAGGCAGCAGUAGGGAAUCUUCCGCAGUGGGCGGAAGCUUGACGGAGCAACGCCGCGUGAGUGAUGAAGGUCUUCGGAUCGUAAAACUCUGUUAUUAGGGAAGAACAAAUGUGUAAGUAACUAUGCACGUCUUGACGGUACCGAAUCAGAAAGCCACGGCUAACUACGUG